rnacentral:rRNA from 1 species
CCCAUAGCUUUUUUAGCUAUAGGUUUGCUAUUAGUGGCAGACGGGUGAGUAAUGCAUAGGAAUCUACCUAGUAGUAUGGAAUAGCCAUUAGAAAUGAUGGGUAAUACUGUAUAAUCCCUGCGGGGGAAAGAUUUAUCGCUAUUAGAUGAGCCUAUGUUAGAUUAGUUAGUUGGUAAGGUAAUGGCUUACCAAGACUAUGAUCUAUAGCUGGUCUGAGAGGACGAUCAGCCACACUGGAACUGAGAUACGGUCCAGACUCCUACGGGAGGCAGCAGUGGGGAAUAUUGGACAAUGGGCGAAAGCCUGAUCCAGCUAUGCCGCGUGAGUGAAGAAGGCCUUCGGGUUGUAAAGCUCUUUCAAUAGGGAAGAUAAUGACGGUACCUAUAGAAGAAGUCCCCGCAAACU